GCCCUAGAAAAUAUCUAAGGUGUAACCUGCCCAAUGGCCUCAAAUUAAAAACUCAUAAAACUUGUUUAAUAAGGUUUAAAGGACGCAGUAACCUUGACUGUGAUAAUGUAGCAUAAUCACUCGCCAUUUAAUUGAUGGAUAGUAUGAAUGGUUGAACGAAUAUUCCACUGUCUUAAAAAGAAACACCAAAAAAUUGAAAUAAUAGUUAAGAUGCUAUUUAAAAUUGUAAGACGAAAAGACCCUAUAGAGCUUAACUAUAACCUCCCUUAAAAAUUAAAAAAGAAUUUUAAAAAUAGAGAGGUUGGUAGUUUAGUUGGGGCGACUAUCUUCUAAAAAUAACGAAGACAAGCAAAGUUAAUAAAAAACUUAUUGUAUAAUAAAUAAAUUUAACAAUUACAAAAGUAGGCUAUAAUGACCCGUUGCGUGUACAUAAAAACCACAACGAUCAAUAAAUAAAAGCUACCUUAGGGAUAACAGGAUAAUUUCAUUUUAGAGAUCAUAUCGAAGAUGAAGUUUGUCACCUCUAUGUUGAAUUAAGAUAUCCCGACAGUGCAGAAGUUGUCAAAGGUAGGUCUGUUCGACCUUUAAAAUCUU
rnacentral:rRNA from 1 species